GUGUCAGCAGCCGCGGUAAUACGUAGGGGGCGAGCGUUGUCCGAAUUUACUGGGCGUAAAGCGCGCGUAGGCGGACUUUUAAGUCGGUGGUGAAAUCUCAGGGCUCAACCCUGAAACUGCCGCCGAAACUGGGAGUCUUGAGGUAUGGAGAGGGAAGUGGAAUUCCUGGUGUAGCGGUGAAAUGCGUAGAUAUCAGGAGGAACACCCGUGGCGAAGGCGGCUUCCUGGCCAUAUCCUGACGCUGAGGUGCGAAAGCUAGGGGAGCGAACGGGAUUAGAUACCCCGGUAGUCCUAGCCGUAAACGAUGGAUACUAGGUGUUAGUGGUAUCGACCCCACUAGUGCCGCAGCUAACGCAUUAAGUAUCCCGCCUGGGGAGUACGGCCGCAAGGUUGAA
rnacentral:rRNA from 1 species